AGGAAAGCUUAGUAGAAAGAGUGAGCAAUAGAAACAGAAGAAAGAGCUGCACUGCGUGCCGGACUCCACUAUCCGUGUCCUUUCCCUUUCCUUCUCUCCCUCGCUGUCGCUCAUUCUCUUCGUCUCUCUCUCUCUCUGCAAAGAAACCUUCCGCUUCUAUCGAAGGAGCGUAACUUGAGUUGAACCUUGAAGCUUCAUUGGAAGAACAACCGGCGGAGCCGUCGAAUUCAGGGGAAAUGGCGAAGCGGGGCUACAAAUUUCAGGAAUUUGUAGCACAUGCAGGUGAUGUCAACUGUUUAAAUAUAGGAAAGAAAUCAUGUAGAGUUUAUGUCACUGGUGGCAAUGAUCGUGCGGUCAAUUUAUGGGGCUUUGAUUCAUCAAAUUCUUUGCUGAGUCUAUCUGGGCACACGACUUCAGUUCAAUCUGUAACUUUUGAUUCAGCUGAAGUAUUAGUUCUGGCGGGAGCGUCUAAUGGUACGAUAAAGCUUUGGGACUUGGAAGAAGGGAAGAAUGUACGAUCCGUUACUGGGCAUAGAUCCAGCUGCACCUCUGUUGAAUUUCAUCCAUUUGGUGAGUUCUUCGCAUCUGGUUCUAUGGAUACUGAUCUCAAGAUAUGGGAUAUUAGAAAGAAGGGUUCCAUUCAUACUUACAAGGGUCAUACACGAGGAAUUAAAACAAUCAAAUUUACUCCUGAUGGUCGGUGGGUUGUCACUGGAGGUGAAGACAACAUUGUUAAGUUAUGGGAUUUGACAGCAGGGAAGCUUCUGCAUGAUUUCAAGUUCCAUAAAGGAAUGAUAAGCUGCAUAGAUUUUCACCCACAUGAGUUUCUUCUUGCAACAGGAUCUGCAGAUCGAACUGUGAAAUUUUGGGACUUGGAAACAUUUGAGCUGAUUGGUUCAUCAGGUCCUGAGGUAUGCAUGGCCACAGGAAUACGCUCUAUGAUUUUUCAUCCUGAUGGAAAAACUCUAUUUUGUGCAUUGGAUGAAGUUUUAAAGGUUUUAUCUUGGGAGCCUAUAAUAUGUCAUGAUGCUGUUCAAAUGGGCUGGUCUUCCUUGGCUGAUCUUACUAUUUAUGAAGGAAAGCUUUUGGGAUGCUCUCAUCAUCAAAGUCGUGUUGGAGUUUGGAUUGCAGAUAUAUCGCUUAUUGGACCAUAUGCAAUUGGUCUUGGGCUUAAUAAAAAUAGCCUAAUGGAACCUAUUUCAAGUCAUAUGGAAAAUUCAUCUAAUGAGCUUACAGGAAGCGGCACAAAAUGCAAUUCACCGCUGGUUACAGGAGCUGUGGGUUAUGCGGUUAAACCAAAAGGGGAACUAGGAAGCAUGCCAGUCGGUUCUAAUGAAUGCAGUCAAAGUCCACAAGAAACUGAUUCCAUCUACUCGGCAAGAGUUUCAUUGACUUCAAAUGGACUGAAAUCAAGAACCUCUGCAGUCAAUCAAAUUGCUAAAAAAAAACUUGAUUCACAAUUUUUAUCAUCCACAUUGAAUUCUACCCCAUUCAGGGCUGCUAAGGUGGCUGAAACUUCCGCUAGAAUUCCAAAGCGAAGUAUGCCAAUUGUUUCUUCAAGGGAGAUAUCGCCAAGCACAAAUUCUUCAAUAUUGCCAAACGGUCAUAUUAUGGAGUUGCAUUCUGUAAAAAAACCUCAAGAACUUGCCAUACCUGUCAUUGUUCCUAGGAACCAUGUACACCGUGAAACAAAAGAUGGUCCUAGAGAUUCAUUGGCUUGUGAAGUAAUAUAUGGUAGUCCAAGCCAUGUUGGUAAAUCAUCGUGUGAAAGUGGCUGUCAAUCUCAAUCAGUUGGGAUGUCUUUUGGUUCUUCAGGUAGCAUCACCAGCGAUCUAAAGCGUGGAAAUUAUAGUUUAAAAUCCAGUCAAGUUGGAACCGCCGAAACACCAGCAGCUGGUGAUGGUAAUUGUUCAAGUAUCGGAUAUGUUGCAGAGAAAUUUGAAAGAAGCAUGUCACUUGAGCAGCCUGGCACAGUGCAAACAGACCAAAGUGAAGAGUCGGUAUGUUCUAGCAAUGACAACUGCUCAGUUAAAUAUGUUAGGGGAGUUGCUGUCCAACUUGGGAAGACACGGUCUCUAGUUGAAAGAUUUGAGAGAAGAGAAAGUUUUGGUCAUUCAGCUACAGAUGGUUCUUCCUUUGAAACUAAAGGACCCGUUCUGGACUCAGUAAGGAACAAGCAAUUUGAUGAUGAUAAUUUGAUUUGUAAUCUCCUGUCACAAAACCAUGAUGUAUUUAUAAAUUCUUUGAAGUCUCGCCUCACAAAGCUCGAGGCUGUGCGGCAUUUUUGGGAAUACAAUGGUAUUAAAGCAGCAGUCGAUGCUGUUGUGAAAUUACCUGACCAUUCGGUUCAAGUUGAUUUGGUUAGUGUCCUCAGAGGAAAAAUUGACCUGUUCACUCUUGAUCUCUUUUGUUGCUUGCUUCCUUUGCUUCAUGGCUUGGUAAACAGCAAAACUGAAAGGCAUAUCAUUGUGGCCCUGGAAAUGCUCUUGGAGCUUGUUAAAGUCUUCGGUCCCUUAGUUUGGUCAACCAUUUCAGCAGCUUCGUUUGUUGGAGUUGAUCUUCAUGCUGAAGAAAGGUUUCAGCGAAGCAAACAAUGCCAUCACCAUUUGCAGAGAAUAAAUCAAAUUCUUCCAUCAGUAAUCAAGAGAGGAGGCUUACUUGCAAAGCAUGCAGAGGAAUUGAAUUUGUUUCUCCAGACCUUAUAAAACCCUUCGAUCAGCUUCCUGUUUGAAGAUUUUCCAUGAUUCAUGGAUCCAAAGUCUUUCAAGAUAUAUUUUCUUCAAACAGUUGGCAGCAGCAGUCCAGCUGCUCAGGUGAAGCCCAUGACCUUCUUUAUCAUCUAUAGGAGAAGAGGCUUUGGGAGAAAACUCUUUGGGAAAGAUGCAAGGAGAAUUUAUUAGGGGAUUUGAGAUGUUUAAGGGGAGAGAUUAUGGAGGGUUAGAGUUUUUGUGUAAUAUUUUGAAUUUCUACAGCAGUUUUUUAUGAGGUGUUUGGGUUCCUAGCAGCUGCUAAGAAUUGUGGGAGAGACAACUCACCUCUCGGAUAGUGAAUCAACUUGUAUCUUGUCUUGCUUUAUUUGGAAAUUAAUAAAAACAGCUAUAUUUUUGUUAUUUCUGGAUCUAUUUGGAGUAAAUUGUUGUUUUUUUAUAUUGUUGUGUUGUUUUGAACAUCAAGUCCUAUCAUGGCACUGAUCCAUUUUGAAUGCUAAAUAGAAAAUUGAAACUAAUACAUAACAUUCCUAAAAAAUAAAUUCAUAAAAGCCUCUGAUCCAAACCUUAAAUGCCCUUUUAUGAUC